GGGAGGCGCCGCGCGCCCUGUCAUGGCGCAGCUGCCAGGCCAGCCCAGCCCAGGCCAGCCCAGCCCGCGGCGCGCCCCCUGUCGCGGGCGUGAGGCCAACGUCCUGCCAUGUGACACCUGCCUGCCCGCUCUGGUCCUGCCCUGCAGACACAGCCUUCCUGCCCAGCUGCAGAAACAAUGCUGGCCCCAUUUGAGCCUCCAGCAAUUGCCACAGCUCCCUUUUUCUGUCAUUGUUAAGGCAAUAAUGAAUGCUGAACUCUUUCCAUGA
rnacentral:lncRNA from 1 species